rnacentral:rRNA from 1 species
CCUACGGGUGGCAGCAGUGGGGAAUAUUGGGCAAUGGGCGCAAGCCUGACCCAGCAACGCCGCGUGAAGGAAGAAGGCCCUCGGGUUGUAAACUUCUUUUAUCAGGGACGAAACAAAUGACGGUACCUGAUGAAUAAGCCACGGCUAACUACGUGCCAGCAGCCGCCGUAAUACGUAGGUGGAAAGCGUUAUCCGGAUUUACUGGGUGUAAAGGGCGUGUAGGCGGGAGAGCAAGUCAGAGGUGAAAUUCCAGGGCUCAACCCUGGAACUGCGUUUGAAACUGUUUGUCUUGAGUGAUGUAGAGGGAGGCGGAAUUCCGUGUGUAGCGGUGAAAUGCGUAGAUAUACGGAGGAACACCAGUGGCGAAGGCGGCCUGCUGGACAUUAACUGACGCUGAGGCGCGAAAGCGUGGGGAGCAAACAGGAUUAGAUACCCGGGUAGUC